CGCAAUCAAUAACGGUUCAAAACUCCUGUGUGACUACAACAAACAGUACGUGGAAUAUAAGACUCUGCUCCAACACAUAUCCUUUCAUCUGCAGUGGAACUCCUAAGAAGAUGAGGGUGGUAAAAAUUACCUUGUCCAAAUCAGAUUCCUCAUUGGACCUGGAGGAAGCGCAGGAUGCCGUCUUGCAGCAACUGAACCUCAAACUGAAGAGCUAUGGCCUUGAAGAUGUCAAACUGAAAUGGAUCAACCAGUCUGAUGGAAAGACGUUUCACUUGAAAAAGGAAGGAGACAAAAAGACAAAGGAUAAAAAAUAGAGGUGCACUGAUUGCAG